GACGAACGCUGGCGGCGUGCUUAACACAUGCAAGUCGAACGAAGAGCGAUGGAAGCUUGCUUCUAUCAAUCUUAGUGGCGAACGGGUGAGUAACGCGUAAUCAACCUGCCCUUCAGAGGGGGACAACAGUUGGAAACGACUGCUAAUACCGCAUACGAUCUAAUCUCGGCAUCGAGGAUAGAUGAAAGGUGGCCUCUACAUGUAAGCUAUCACUGAAGGAGGGGAUUGCGUCUGAUUAGCUAGUUGGGGGGGUAACGGCCCACCAAGGCGAUGAUCAGUAGGCGGGCUGAGAGGAUGGACGGCCACAAUGGGACUGGGACACGGCCCAGACUCCUACGGGGGGCAGCAGUGGGGAAUCUUCCGCAAUGGACGAAAGUCUGACGGAGCAACGCCGCGUGAGUGAUGACGGCCUUCGGGUUUUAAAGCUCUGUUAAUCGGGACGAAAGGCCUUCUUGCGAAUAGUGAGAAGGAUUGACGGUACCGGAAUAGAAAGCCACGGCUAACUACGUG
rnacentral:rRNA from 1 species